CAGGGGGUUGGCACCAGGGUGGUGGGUCAGCACCGUCACCCAUGGCAGCGUCAAGCUCCGACAACCGGACAUCGCAUGGCUGGGACCCGCGCACCCCCACGGCUGUGAUUUAUCCUAUUCAUGGGCACGACCAGCCAACUGCUAUUUGAAAUGAACAGUCAUUUUGCCAUUAAUAUCUAAGAUAACAAUGUUGUACAACCAAACAAAUAAAAAGAUCAAAUGAAGUGGUAUAAACCAGAGAGAGGGAGAGUGGAAUCAUUGAUGAGCACAGGGGCAGACAUCGCUGGCAGUUUUUUCCUCAGUGAAACUGAUUGUGAUAACAAGCAUGGUGGUGAUGCCAACAAAGUCCUAUAAAUCCGAUGGCUUCCCCUGAUGAUAGGGUCACACAAGUCAACAACUCAUUCAUGAACUGUAAUUUUAUAUCCAGCAGCAAACAAGAUUUAUUUUUUGUGUUCAAAAGUUGAAUAGAUUCCACUUGAACCUCAAGAACAAAAAGAAACCUCACGCUUAGUUAAGCAUCGAUGAGUGGCAACAAAGGGAAAACAAAGUGCGAAAGAGAUGUUAACUGCAAACUGCAGUAUCUUCAUAUGUACUUCCCUUGUAGUUUUUCUUUCUACAGAUUCUGUUCGGAAGGACCCAACGGCCAACCUGUUGAUACAAUAAACACGAGAAAUACCACUUAAGCACAAUACCUUCACCAGCUGGCCAUUGCACGGGGCAGCACAACAAUCAAAGA
rnacentral:lncRNA from 1 species